rnacentral:rRNA from 1 species
AUUGAACGCUGGCGGCAUGCCUUACACAUGCAAGUCGAACGGCAGCGCGGUCUUCGGUCUGGCGGCGAGUGGCGCACGGGUGAGUAAUACAUCGGAACGUACCCUGUUGUGGGGGAUAACUAGUCGAAAGAUUAGCUAAUACCGCAUACGACCUGAGGGUGAAAGGGGGGGACCGGAAACGGCCUCAUGCAGCAGGAGCUGCCGAUGUCUGUUUAGCUCGUUGGUGGGGUAAAGGCCCACCAAGGCGACGAUCAGUAGCUGGUCUGAGAGGAAGAUCAGCCACACUGGGACUGAGACACGGCCCAGACUCCUACGGGAGGCAGCAGAGGGGAAUUUUGGACAAUGGGGGGAAUCCUGAUCCAGCAAUGCCGCGUGUGUGAAGAAGGCCUUCGGGUUGUAAAGCAGUUUUGUCCGGAAAGAAAACGCGCUGGUUAAUACCUGGCGUGGAUGACGGUACCGGAAGAAUAAGCACCGGCUAACUACGUG